UGGGGAAUAUUGGGCAAUGGGCGAAAGCCUGACCCAGCGACGCCGCGUGAGGGACGAAGGCCUUCGGGUUGUAAACCUCUUUCAGUAGGGAAGAAGCGAAAGUGACGGUACCUACAGAAGAAGCACCGGCUAACUACGUGCCAGCAGCCGCGGUAAUACGUAGGGUGCAAGCGUUGUCCGGAAUUAUUGGGCGUAAAGAGCUCGUAGGUGGUUUGCCACGUCGGAUGUGAAAACCUGAGGCUUAACCUCAGGCCUGCAUUCGAUACGGGCAGACUAGAGUGUGGUAGGGGAGACUGGAAUUCCUGGUGUAGCGGUGAAAUGCGCAGAUAUCAGGAGGAACACCGAUGGCGAAGGCAGGUCUCUGGGCCAUAACUGACACUGAGGAGCGAAAGCGUGGGGAGCAAACAGG
rnacentral:rRNA from 1 species